rnacentral:rRNA from 1 species
AGUGAACGCUGGCGGUAGGCCUAACACAUGCAAGUCGAACGGCAGCACAGUAAGAGCUUGCUCUUACGGGUGGCGAGUGGCGGACGGGUGAGGAAUACAUCGGAAUCUACUUUUUCGUGGGGGAUAACGUAGGGAAACUUACGCUAAUACCGCAUACGACCUACGGGUGAAAGCAGGGGAUCUUCGGACCUUGCGCGAUUGAAUGAGCCGAUGUCGGAUUAGCUAGUUGGCGGGGUAAAGGCCCACCAAGGCGACGAUCCGUAGCUGGUCUGAGAGGAUGAUCAGCCGCACUGGAGCUGAGACACGGUCCAGACUCCUACGAGAGGCAGCAGUGGGGAAUAUUGGACAAAGGGCGCAAGCCUGAUCCAGCCAUACCGCGUGGGUGAAGAAGGCCUUCGGGUUGUAAAGCCCUUUUGUUGGGAAAGAAAAGCAGCAGGUUAAUACCCCGCUGUUCUGACGGUACCCAAAGAAUAAGCACCGGCUAACAUCGUG